GCUCUUUUCCGUACACAAAUUAAUCAUCGCGGGACAAACGUCACUUUCGUUGUGUACUUGUAUUAUAUAAUAAUAUCGUGUCGAUAUAAAAUAAUGAUUAGGUUGGUAAGUACCAGUAUAUGCAUCGGUGACCAAGAACGGAAAUUGAUGACUGCAGGCAAUUACAAAUAUUACAAACAAAAACUAACGACGAUCAGUGACAUAUUUAGCGGAAAAAGUUUGGACAUUUGCGGACUAAGUCCUUGCUCAUGAAUGAUGUGUCACGUAGCGUCAACUAUGAUAAAUAUAUAACUGCAUUUCAAACACAUCCUCACAUAUUAUUGACAAUCAAAACACAUACAUUUAUUUCUAAUAUACCUAUUGCCUAUCAAUAUUGUCUACAAUUGAAAAUAUUACAAAAUAUUAUUGAUUACAUAAAACAAGAACUA